CACCUCUAGCAUUACCAGUAUUAGAGGCACUGCCUGCCCAGUGACAUUAGUUAAACGGCCGCGGUAUCCUGACCGUGCAAAGGUAGCAUAAUCAUUUGUUCCUUAAUUAGGGACUUGUAUGAAUGGCCCCACGAGGGUUUAACUGUCUCUUACUUUUAAUCAGUGAAAUUGACCUUCCCGUGAAGAGGCGGGGAUACAAAAAUAAGACGAGAAGACCCUAUGGAGCUUAAAUUAAUAUGUUCAACAGAAUUUAAUUAUAAUCCAAUAGGAAUAAAAAUAUUCUAACUGAACAAUAAAUUUUGGUUGGGGUGACCUCGGAGUAUAACAUAACCUCCGAGCAAUUAAACCAAGACUUACCAGUCAAGGCUAUAUGACUUAUUGAUCCAAUCUUAUUGAUCAACGAAACAAGUUACCCUAGGGAUAACAGCGCAAUCCUAUUUAAGAGUUCAUAUCGACAAUAGGGUUUACGACCUCGAUGUUGGAUCAGGACACCCAAAUGGUGCAGCAGCUAUUAAAGGUUCGUUUGUUCAACG
rnacentral:rRNA from 1 species